AAUCAACGCUGGCGGCGUGCCUCAGACAUGCAAGUCGAACGAUUAAAGCUCUCUUCGGAGAGUGCAUAAAGUGGCGCACGGGUGAGUAACACGUAAGUAAUCUACCUUCGAGUGGGGAAUAACGUCCGGAAACGGACGCUAAUACCGCAUAACGCAGCGGCAUCGCAAGAUGACAGUUGUUAAAGAUUUAUCGCUUGAAGAGGAGCUUGCGGCAGAUUAGCUUGUUGGUAAGGUAACGGCUUACCAAGGCUACGAUCUGUAUCCGGUCUAAGAGGACGGUCGGACACACUGACACUGAAUAACGGGUCAGACUCCUACGGGAGGCAGCAGUC
rnacentral:rRNA from 1 species